UACGUAGGUGGCAAGCGUUGUUCGGAAUCACUGGGUGUAAAGGGCGUGUAGGUGGUUAUGAUAGUCGAAUGUGAAAUCCCUUGGCUCAACCAAGGAAGUGCAUUCGAUACUUCAUGACUAGAGUUUAGGAGAGGAGAGCGGAAUUCUCGGUGUAGUGGUGAAAUACGUGGAGAUCGAGAAGAACACCAGCGGUGAAAGCGGCUCUCUAGACUAACACUGACACUGAGGCGCGAAAGCGUGGGGAGCAAACGGG
rnacentral:rRNA from 1 species